UAUUCCGGGGCCAUCGUGCCCUUCCCAGAAUGGAUGCAACGUCUCCAACCAAAACCAGAUGUACUUCCUGCUUCCUCUAGAGCAGGCUUCUGACUCAGGUCCAGUGGAGAUGGGAUCACCAUGUUCCAGGACUCCAGGUAAGUCCAGCUUCAGAUCCUGGAAGAUGUGGGAGGCUGUUUGAGUACAGGGGAUGGGACAGGCCCCAGGACGUGUCUUUCCAUGAAUGAGAAGCGAGACCCCUCUUAGCAGCUGGCACCUCGAUCUCCGCUUGUACCUCUUGUACCUGGUUCCGCUGUGCGCACACACAUCUGCUGGGUCUCGGCU
rnacentral:lncRNA from 1 species